AAAAAGCAUUUAUGUAGUAGUGAUUGCUUAUAGGGGUAAAUUAUAUAUAUAUUGUACUAUAUGAUAUAAAGAUAACAAAUAGAUUGGAAAAAAGUUAUUUAAUCAAUACCAAUGAAAAUGCCUUUGGAAAUAGUACUUUUGAAAUGCAACAUGAAUAAUCUGGCUGAUAUUAUACUCUUAUAAAUUUCUAACCAUUACAUAACCCAAGAUUCAAGUCCGUGCCUAAAUUUCUAACCAUUGCAUAACCUAAGAUUCAUGUCCUGGCGAUAGGCGGGCUAGUUUAGAGAAACAAGGGAACGUCUUCUCUUGGGAUAAAUUAGCUUCCUAGGAACGUUAAUUAACAAAGUAAGAUUCAUUAUCUAAACAAAACAGGCGUGCAAGUAUCUUAUGAGCCGAUAAUUGAGUAUUUUAUACAGAAAUUGACUUUGGAAAUAGUACUUUUGAAAUGCAACAUGAAUAAUCUGGCUGAUAUUAUACUCUUAAGGGCUUAUUCGGAAUGGAGGAGAAACAUUGGAAAAAUGAAGGAUUUUGGUUCCUAUGGAUUACUUUACUGUGGCGUCAUUCGGAUCACAGGAAAACAUUCGUAGGAAAUACAUAGGGAAAAUUCCUGCGCUAGCCAUACCACUGCAAGGUCACAGGAAAAAAAAAUCCACGCCGACCUCUUUUUUCUCUCCCUCCGCGUGGGAACGAGACAAAUCAUGCCAUCAAGCAACUAAAGCAUAUUAUUAGGUUGAUUAAUGUUGUUUAAUUCACUAGUAGCAUGUGAUAAUUUUGUAAUAGUGCACCUAUUUUCUUAAAGAUUCCUAUGUUUUUCCUUUACUCCAUCCAAACACCUAUUCACAUGAAAUUCCUAUGUUUUCAAAUCCUUUGUUUUACACUUGCAUUCCUAUCCUAUUCCUACGUUUUUCCUGUUCCUAUGUUUUUUCAAUCCUGCAUUCCGAAUGAGCCAUUAUAAAUUUCUAACCAUUACAUAACCCAAGAUUCAAGUCCGUGCCUAAAUUUCUAACCAUUACAUAACCUAAUAUUCAUGUCCGUGAGAAUAGGCGGGCUAGUUUAGAGAAACAAGGGAACGUCUUCUCUUGGGAUAAAUUAGCUUCCUAGGAACGUUAAUUAAAUAAGUAAGAUUCAUUAUCUAAACAAAACAGGCGUGCAAGUAUCUUAUGAGCCGAUAAUUGAGUAUUUUAUACAGAAAUUUAUUUGCAAUUAUGCUAGUACUAGUACUAUGGAUGCACUGAAAAAAAAAUCAAAAUUAAACCUUUCCGCUGGCCGGCCGCAGGAGCCACGGCGGCUAACACGAACGCAGCGAAGAAAAGCAAGAGGGCCAUUGUUGGCUGCCGAGCCGAGCUAGCUAGAAUAUGGGAUCUUGCGCGUCACUUGCA
rnacentral:lncRNA from 1 species